GGCCUACGGGACGCAGCAGUCGGGAAUAUUGCGCAAUGGAGGAAACUCUGACGCAGUGACGCCGCGUGCAGGAAGAAGGUUUUCGGAUUGUAAACUGCUUUAGACAGGGAAGAAAAAAGACAGUACCUGUAGAAUAAGCUCCGGCUAACUACGUGCCAGCAGCCGCGGUAAUACGUAGGGGGCAAGCGUUAUCCGGAAUUAUUGGGCGUAAAGAGUACGUAGGUGGCAACCUAAGCGCAGGGUUUAAGGCAAUGGCUCAACCAUUGUUCGCCCUGCGAACUGGGAUGCUUG
rnacentral:rRNA from 1 species